rnacentral:rRNA from 1 species
GUGGGGAAUAUUGGACAAUGGGCGCAAGCCUGAUCCAGCCAUGCCGCGUGAGUGAUGAAGGCCCUAGGGUUGUAAAGCUCUUUCACCGGUGAAGAUAAUGACGGUAACCGGAGAAGAAGCCCCGGCUAACUUCGUGCCAGCAGCCGCGGUAAUACGAAGGGGGCUAGCGUUGUUCGGAAUUACUGGGCGUAAAGCGCACGUAGGCGGACAUUUAAGUCAGGGGUGAAAUCCCAGAGCUCAACUCUGGAACUGCCUUUGAUACUGGGUGUCUUGAGUAUGGAAGAGGUAAGUGGAAGUCCGAGUGUAGAGGUGAAAUUCGUAGAUAUUCGGAAGAACACCAGUUGCGAAGGCGACUGACUGGACAAGUAUUGACGCUGAGGUGCGAAAGCGUGGGGAGCAAACAGGAUUAGAUACCCGUGUAGUCC